AUGAUGAUGUCCCUGACUCUACUGCUGGCCACCCUGGGGCUCCUUGUUCAGGGUUCAUCAUCAGAAAUCAUCCUGACUCAGUCUCCUGGAUCUCAGUCCGUUGUUCCAGGACAAACUGUCUCCAUCACAUGUAGAAGCAGUCAGGAUAUUGAUGACGACCUGCACUGGUACCUUCAGAAAUCUGGAAAAUCUCCACAACUCCUGAUUUAUGGAGUUUCAACUCGUCAGUCUGGAGUUCCUGACCGUUUCAGUGGAAGUGGAUACGGAACUGACUUUACUCUGACCAUCAGUGGAGUUCAGGCUGAAGAUUCAGGAGUUUAUUACUGUCAGCAGGACGACAGCUACCCGUUCACACAGUGA